UACGUAGGGUGCAAGCGUUAAUCGGAAUUACUGGGCGUAAAGCGUGCGCAGGCGGUUUUGUAAGUCUGUCGUGAAAGCCCCGGGCUCAACCUGGGAAUUGCGAUGGAGACUGCAAGGCUUGAAUCUGGCAGAGGAGGGUAGAAUUCCACGUGUAGCAGUGAAAUGCGUAGAGAUGUGGAGGAACACCGAUGGCGAAGGCAGCCCCCUGGAUCAAGAUUGACGCUCAUGCACGAAAGCGUGGGGAGCAAACAGG
rnacentral:rRNA from 1 species